rnacentral:rRNA from 1 species
CCUACGGGAGGCAGCAGUGGGGAAUAUUGGACAAUGGGCGAAAGCCUGAUCCAGCAAUGCCGCGUGAGUGAUGAAGGCCUUAGGGUCGUAAAGCUCUUUUACCAGGGAUGAUAAUGACAGUACCUGGAGAAUAAGCUCCGGCUAACUCCGUGCCAGCAGCCGCGGUAAUACGGAGGGAGCUAGCGUUGUUCGGAAUUACUGGGCGUAAAGCGUGCGUAGGCGGUUAUUCAAGUCAGAGGUGAAAGCCCGGGGCUCAACCCCGGAACGGCCUUUGAAACUAGAUAACUAGAAUCUUGGAGAGGUCAGUGGAAUUCCGAGUGUAGAGGUGAAAUUCGUAGAUAUUCGGAAGAACACCAGUGGCGAAGGCGACUGACUGGACAAGUAUUGACGCUGAGGUACGAAAGCGUGGGGAGCAAACAGGAUUAGAUACCCUGGUAGUCCACGCCGUAAACGAUGAUAACUAGCUGUCCGGACACUUGGUGUUUGGGUGGCGCAGCUACGACAUUAAGUUAUACCGUCCGUCGGGUAGGUACGGUCGCGAGAAUUAAAACGUUAAAACGUAAAGUUAGUACGGCGUGAGACGCGCCGACGACGACGACGAGGGAGGUAGG